UCGAGAAUCUUCGGCAAUGGGCGCAAGCCUGACCGAGCGACGCCGCGUGCGGGAUGAAGGCCUUCGGGUUGUAAACCGCUGUCGGGAGGGAUGCAGAGCUCCGGAGGAAGCACGGGCUAAGUUCGUGCCAGCAGCCGCGGUAAUACGAACUGUGCGAACGUUAUUCGGAAUCACUGGGCUUAAAGGGUGCGUAGGCGGCGCUGUAAGUCAGGUGUGAAAGCCCUCGGCUCAACCGAGGAAUUGCGCUUGAAACUGCAGUGCUUGAGUAAGGUAGGGGUGCAUGGAACUUCCGGUGGAGCGGUGAAAUGUGUAGAUAUCGGAAGGAACCCGGGCGGCGAAAGCGGUGCACUGGGCCUUGUCUGACGCUGAGGCACGAAAGCUAGGGUAGCGAACGGGAUUAGAUACCCUAGUAGU
rnacentral:rRNA from 1 species